CAGUAGCCACGGGAAUACAGAGGGUGCAAGCGUUAAUCGGAAUUACUGGGCGUAAAGCGCGCGUAGGUGGUUUGUUAAGUUGGAUGUGAAAUCCCCGGGCUCAACCUGGGAACUGCAUCCAAAACUGGCAAGCUAGAGUAUGGUAGAGGGUGGUGGAAUUUCCUGUGUAGCGGUGAAAUGCGUUGAGAUCGGAAAGAACACCAACGGCGAAAGCACUCUGCUGGGCCGACACUGACACUGAGAGACGAAAGCUAGGGGAGCAAAUGGGAUUAGAUACCCCUGUAGUCCCUGUCUCUUAUAC
rnacentral:rRNA from 1 species